ACGCUAAUACCGCAUAUUCUGUGAGCAGGAAAGCAGGGGGACCGCAAGGCCUUGCGCUCUUUGAGCGGCCGAUGUCAGAUUAGCUAGUUGGUGAGGUAAAGGCUUACCAAGGCGACGAUCUGUAGCGGGUCUGAGAGGAUGAUCCGCCACACUGGAACUGAGACACGGUCCAGACUCCUACGGGAGGCAGCAGUGGGGAAUUUUGGACAAUGGGCGCAAGCCUGAUCCAGCCAUGCCGCGUGAGUGAAGAAGGCCUUCGGGUUGUAAAGCUCUUUCGGCCGGGAAGAAAUCGCAUGGGUUAAUACCCUGUGUGGAUGACGGUACCGGAAUAAGAAGCACCGGCUAACUACGUG
rnacentral:rRNA from 1 species